rnacentral:misc_RNA from 1 species
GAUGAAGAACGUAGCGAAAUGCGAUAAGUAAUGUGAAUUGCAGAAUUCAGUGAAUCAUCGAAUCUUUGAACGCACAUUGCGCCCGCCAGCAUUCUGGCGGGCAUGCCUGUUCGAGCGUCAUUUCAACCCUCGAGCCCCCCCGGGGGCCUCGGUGUUGGGGGACGGCACACCAGCCGCCCCCGAAAUGCAGUGGCGACCUCGCCGCAGCCUCCCCUGCGUAGUAGCACACACCUCGCACCGGAGCGCGGAGACGGUCACGCCGUAAAACGCCCAACUUCUUAGAGUUGACCUCGGAUCAGGUAGGAAUACCCGCUGAACUUAAGCAUAUCAAUAACGGAGGA